UCCGCUGCAUCGUCUGCCCCACCGCCAUUCUUCGACUCGAUGUGCCUCCGUCGUAGGCAACAAAUGGAGAGAGAGGAGAAAGAUGUUGCUCGUUUCAGGUGCGUCCUCGCUAUGUACCACAGAUAUGCGUUCGCGAGAAGAAGAGUGUGCACGGAUCGGAAGGAAAAGACAUCGGUCAUGAGAUACCGCCUCUGUGACCUCCCCCCAUCCCCACAACUGCUGGUGGGCUCUGCCGCCCUCCCUUUGUUACACACGCGCCCGCAGGCACAGGGAUGCAUUGCCCAACGAUAACGUUGGGCUCCUCCCCCUUUUUUGUGCAUCUUUUGGUUUGCAUUUUUUUGGGUUCAGUUUUGCGUUCACGAGGCUUCUUUUGCUCUGAAACCUAGCCACACCGUCUCACCGCUACCUUCCCCAUAUCACUUUCUCGCAGUUCGCAUUCUCGAGCUCUCCCUGUGAGUCGACUGUGACGUGGCCGAGGGCCGCCAUUUUUCACUGUGCUCAUUCCCAUGCCGUGUGAUGUGUUCGUCUAUUUUUACACGCUGGUUUAGCUCUUGCCUCUCCCUCUUCCUCUCUGUACCAAGCUCUCGUUGACGAAGAAUGCCCUCUUCGAUUGUCUGCUGUGCGUGUGUGUGUAAAGAGGUGGGGUCCGGUGGCCCGCCCUACACCAUCUCCGUCUCUCGUGCUGUUUUCGAUGUGUACGAGUGUAUGUGUCGCUCGUAUUGUGCUCGCUUUUCUCUAUCCAUCGUUGGUUUUCCGCUUGACACGACAGGGCAAGCUCACCAUCGAAAAACUUGCACACAGCCGCGCACCAGCACUGCAUGGCACGCACAUGUGAAAUCCGCGUGCCUUCCGCAUGUCACACCUGUUGUCAUGUUCUGUGAGAAUAAGGGCAUCUUUUUUCCCAUCAGAGGCGUCUGUGCGUGCGUGUGUGUUUCUAUGUGCCUAGGGAGGCUGCUUCGAAAUGGAGAAAGGCGAGGGAGAGAGAGCAAUGAGUCGUACUACCCGCCUUAUCCCCUCCCUCCGCGGUACUUCAACGCAGCGGCGGCAAUGAACCACCUUCGGCACCACUGCGCACUGCCACACCAGGCGCAUCGGCCACCUUCUAUUGGUAGACUCUCUCUGCUUGGAUGGGGGUGGCGCUCGGAUGGCUUUACCAUCUCAUGUCGUCUCUCUGUAUUCCCACUUUGUUUCUCGUAUCCGCCGUGCGUGCAG
rnacentral:misc_RNA from 1 species